rnacentral:rRNA from 1 species
UACAGAGGUCUCAAGCGUUGUUCGGAUUCAUUGGGCGUAAAGGGUGCGUAGGCGGCGCGGUAAGUCGGGUGUGAAAUCUCGGGGCUUAACUCCGAAACUGCAUUCGAUACUGCCGUGCUUGAGGACUGGAGAGGAGACUGGAAUUUACGGUGUAGCGGUGAAAUGCGUAGAUAUCGUAAGGAAGACCAGUGGCGAAGGCGGGUCUCUGGACAGUUCCUGACGCUGAGGCACGAAGGCCAGGGGAGCAAGCGGG